UACAGAGGUCUCAAGCGUUGUUCGGAAUCAUUGGGCGUAAAGGGUGCGUAGGCGGCGCGGUAAGUCGGGUGUGAAAUCUCGGAGCUUAACUCCGAAACUGCAUUCGAUACUGCCGUGCUUGAGGACUGGAGAGGAGACUGGAAUUUACGGUGUAGCGGUGAAAUGCGUAGAUAUCGUAAGGAAGACCAGUGGCGAAGGCGGGUCUCUGGACAGUUCCUGACGCUGAGGCACGAAGGCCAGGGGAGCAAACGGG
rnacentral:rRNA from 1 species